rnacentral:rRNA from 1 species
GCAUAUCAAUAAGCGGAGGAAAAGAAACCAACAGGGAUUGCCCUAGUAAACGGCGAGUGAAGCGGGCAACAGCUCAAAUUUGAAAUCUGGCUUCGGCCCGAGUUUGUAAUUUGUAGAGGAAGCUUUAGGCGCGGCACCUUCUGAGUCCCCUGGAACGGGGCGCCAAAGAGGGUGAGAGCCCCGUAUAGUUGGAUGCCUAGCCUGUGUAAAGCUCCUUCGACGAGUCGAGUAGUUUGGGAAUGCUGCUCAAAAUGGGAGGUAAAUUUCUUCUAAAGCUAAAUACCGGCCAGAGACCGAUAGCGCACAAGUAGAGUGAUCGAAAGAUGAAAAGCACUUUGAAAAGAGGGUUAAAUAGCACGUGAAAUUGUUGAAAGGGAAGCGCUUGUGACCAGACUUGCGCCAGGCUGAUCAUCCGGUGUUCUCACCGGUGCACUCUGCCCGGCGCAGGCCAGCAUCGGUUCUCGCGGGGGGAUAAAGGCUCCGGGAACGUAGCUCCUCCGGGAGUGUUAUAGCCCGGGGCGUAAUGCCCUCGCGGGGACCGAGGACCGCGCAUCUUGCAAGGAUGCUGGCGUAAUGGUCACCAGCGACCCGUCUUGAAACACGGACCAAGGAGUCAAGGUUUUGCGCGAGUGUUUGGGUGUAAAACCCGCACGCGUAAUGAAAGUGAACGUAGGUGAGAGCUUCGGCGCAUCAUCGACCGAUCCUGAUGUAUUCGGAUGGAUUUGAGUAGGAGCGUUAAGCCUUGGACCCGAAAGAUGGUGAACUAUGCUUGGAUAGGGUGAAGCCAGAGGAAACUCUGGUGGAGGCUCGCAGCGGUUCUGACGUGCAAAUCGAUCGUCAAAUCUGAGCAUGGGGGCGAAAGACUAAUCGAACCAUCUAGUAGCUGGUUACCGCC